UACAGAGGGUGCGAGCGUUAAUCGGAAUUACUGGGCGUAAAGCGCACUAGGUGGCGACGUAAGUCGGGUGUGAAAGCCCCGGGCUCAACCUGGGAAUGGCGGUGGAAACUGGCGAGCUAGAGUGUGGCAGAGGGGGGUGGAAUUCCGCGUGUAGCAGUGAAAUGCGUAGAUAUGCGGAGGAACACCUGUGGCGAAGGCGGCCGACUGGGCCGACCCUGACGCUGAGGCGCGAAGGCGUGGGGAGCGAACGGG
rnacentral:rRNA from 1 species